CCUCUCUCUCGGCGAGGUCGUAUCCUCUAUACCCGCUCUCUCGGCGAGGUCAUAUCCUCUAUAACUGGUCUCUUGGUUAGGUCAUGUU